UACGAGAGGGUGCUAGCGUUGUUCGGAAUCAUUGGGCGUAAAGGGUGCGUAGGCGGCGCGGUAAGUCGGGUGUGAAAUCUCGGAGCUUAACUCCGAAACUGCAUUCGAUACUGCCGUGCUUGAGGACUGGAGAGGAGACUGGAAUUUACGGUGUAGCGGUGAAAAUGCGUAGAUAUCGUAAGGAAGACCAGUGGCGAAGGCGGGUCUCUGGACAGUUCCUGACACUGAGCACGAAGGCCAGGGGAGCAAACGGG
rnacentral:rRNA from 1 species